rnacentral:rRNA from 1 species
GACGAACGCUGGCGGCGUGCUUAACACAUGCAAGUCGAACGGAAAGGCCCUGCUUUUGUGGGGUGCUCGAGUGGCGAACGGGUGUGUAACACGUGAGUAACCUGCCCUUGACUUUGUGAUAACUUCAGGAAACUGGGGCUAAUACCGGAUAGGAUCUCCUGCUGCAUGGUGGGGGUUGGAAAGUUUCGGCGGUUGGGGAUGGACUCGCGGCUUAUCAGCUUGUUUGUGGGGUAGUGGCUUACCAAGGGUUUGACGGGUAGCCGGCAUGAGAGGGUGACCGGCCACAUGGGGACUGAGAUACGGAGCAGAAUGCAACGGGAGGCAGCAGUGGGGAAGAUUGCACAAUGGGAGGAAGCCUGAUGCAGAAACGCCGGGUGCGGGAUGACGGGCUUCGGGUUGUAAACAGAAUUAGAAUGUGACGAAGAGUGAGUGACGGUAAUGGGUAAAGAAGCAACGGCUAACUACGUG